UCUUGGUUUGUUCUCUUCUUAUUUUACUAAAAAGAUAAUGAAGAUAUCAAAGAAAGACUCGAGGAGCCACUCAUUGUCUGAGUCCACCUGCAGGCUCCUCCAUACUCGAGAAUGAUUUCAUGCGACUUGGACCAGGAUCAGUCACGACGAAUGCGGUGCACAUGACCCGACCUGUAUGCUGCUGCCUUUAUUGCAUUUGAAACCUCAUCACCCGGACUGGAUCCAGCUGUAAACUCAGAGGUGGAACUCUGUGUGUUUGUUAUGGAUCUGUUGUUUUCAGGUUUUGAGUUGGUCUUUAUCAUCAUUGCUUUCACUAUUAUGUGCUUAUUUGGUCUGGCUGCUAUCUACACACACAAUACAGAUCAUCAAGAUGACUACAUUCAGACAGAACAGAAGAUAAUGCAACAAAAGAGUAACUCAAAGAAAAAACAGCGAGUUGUCACCAAAACCAAUCAAGAGUUACCAUGAACACACAAACAAAUACAUUUCAUACAAAUACAGAAUCCUUCUGUAGGUGCUCACUGAAUUAAAAGGCCUUGCUCACCAAAUGCAACUAAUCAGUGUCUGAAGUUCUCUGACACUGAAAAUGGACUUACUGUCGAGCUCAUCUUUUAGUUGACCCUCAAGUCCAGCUGUCUCAGAUUGGCUUGAAUGCAUGCCCCCCAAUUAUUAAGAAAGGCAAAGAGGAUUUAUUGAAAUUGAAACCCCUCCCCUUUCGCCACCUAAAUCUUCUUAUCAUUUGUAAUAUAAUGAUUUAAAGCCUGUCUGGAGCAGCCUUCAUUUAUGCUUUGGUGGGCAAACUGCUUCUAAAGUUUCUGGGUGGUGGUGGCCUUUGGCAAUAAAAAUAGGAAAAUAUAUUGCUGAAUGUAUAUUGUGAAAAUAUUUUAUACUUAUAUAUACAGUAUAUUUAUAUUAUAGAAUAUUGUAAUAUUUAUAUAAUGCAUUGUAUAUUUUAUUUAUUUUUCCACAAGUACAGUAUUUUGGGCAUUUUUUAUAUAUUUCAAAAUAUGAAUAUUGUCCAGUAUGUAUAAAAAUAUAUAUGAAAGCAUUUGAACAAGAAUGGCUGCUUCAUCUUAGUGUUUUGAAUAUUUUUUCUCUAUAUGUGUAUGUAUUUUA